rnacentral:rRNA from 1 species
AGCGAACGCUGGCGGCAGGCUUAACACAUUCAUGUCGAGCGGGCGUAGCAAUACGUCAGCGGCAGACCGGUGCGUAACGCGUGGCAACCUACCUUUUGGUUCGCAACAACACAGGGAAACUUGUGCUAAUACCGGAUAAGCCCUUACGGCGAAAGAUUUAUCGCCGAAAGAUCGGCCCGCGUCUGAUCUGCUAGUUGUUGCGGUAAUGGCCUACCAAGGCGACGAACAGUAGCUGGUCUGACAGGAUGAUCAGCCACAUUGGGACUGAGACAGGGCCAAAACUGGUGAGGGAGGCGGCAGUGGGGAAGAUUGGACAAUGGGGGCAACGCUGAUGUAGAAAUGCCGCGUGAGUGAUGAAGGGCCUAGGGUUGUAAAGCAAUUUUGUGCGGGAAGAGAAUGACGGGAACGCAAGAAUAAGCCCCGGCUAACUUCGUGCCAGCAGCAGCCGCCG